AGCCGCUGUCAGUCUGGUGUGGCAGGAGGGGCCUGGGUGGGAGCCGUCCUGCGAUUGCAGACUGGGCCUUGGGGCCCCAGGUGGCUGAGUCCUGGCGCUGUGUCCUUUCAGGAUGGUGGAUGUGGGGGGCCAGCGGUCGGAGCGGAGGAAGUGGAUCCACUGCUUUGAGAACGUGACAUCCAUCAUGUUUCUCGUCGCCCUCAGCGAAUACGACCAAGUCCUGGUGGAGUCGGACAACGAGAACCGGAUGGAGGAGAGCAAAGCCUUGUUCCGGACCAUCAUCACCUACCCCUGGUUCCAGAACUCCUCCGUCAUCCUCUUCCUCAACAAGAAGGACCUGCUGGAGGACAAGAUCCUGUACUCGCACCUGGUGGACUACUUCCCUGAGU
rnacentral:sRNA from 1 species